UACGGGAGGCAGCAGUGGGGAAUAUUGCACAAUGGGCGCAAGCCUGAUGCAGCCAUGCCGCGUGUAUGAAGAAGGCCUUCGGGUUGUAAAGUACUUUCAGUCGUGAGGAAGGUGUUAAGGUUAAUAACCUUAGCAAUUGACGUUAGCGACAGAAGAAGCACCGGCUAACUCCGUGCCAGCAGCCGCGGUAAUACGGAGGGUGCGAGCGUUAAUCGGAAUUACUGGGCGUAAAGGGCACGCAGGCGGUUAAUUAAGUUGGAUGUGAAUCCCCGGGCUUAACCUGGGAAUGGCAUUCAAGACUGGUUAGCUAGAGUCUUGUAGAGGGGGUAGAAUUCCAUGUGUAGCGGUGAAAUGCGUAGAGAUGUGGAGGAAUACCGGUGGCGAAGGCGGCCCCUGGGACAAAGACUGACGCUCAUGUGCGAAAGCGUGGGGAGCGAAACAGGAUUAGAUACC
rnacentral:rRNA from 1 species